AUGCAAGACUAUUUUGCGGAGGUACCGACAUACCCACCUCGCCUCUUCCGUAGAAGGUACCGCAUGCGCUGUACUUUGUUUGAGAGAAUCGUCAAAGAUUGCGAGGCCAACUCGCAUUAUUUCACGCACCGUAGAAAUGCUGCCGGCGCCAUGGGAUUUAGUGCAUACCAGAAGAUAUCGGCUGCAAUGCGGGUGCUCGCCUAUGGCAUACCCGCGGACUACUGUGACGAGUAUCUUCGCAUCGGCCAAGAUACUACCACCGAGUCUGUGCGUGGGUUUGCCAAGAUGGUCAUCCGAUUGUAUGGUGAUUGGUAUCUUUGGGCUCCCAAUGAGGAAGAUACGAAGAGGUUGAUGGAGAUAAAUGAAAAAAGGGGAUGUCCGGGCAUGCUUGGCAGUCUAGAUUGCAUGCACUGGAAAUGA
rnacentral:rRNA from 1 species